rnacentral:rRNA from 1 species
UGGGGAAUAUUGCACAAUGGGCGCAAGCCUGAUGCAGCCAUGCCGCGUGUGUGAAGAAGGCCUUCGGGUUGUAAAGCACUUUCAGCGGGGAGGAAGGCGCUAAGGUUAAUAACCUUGGCGAUUGACGUUACCCGCAGAAGAAGCACCGGCUAACUCCGUGCCAGCAGCCGCGGUAAUACGGAGGGUGCAAGCGUUAAUCGGAAUUACUGGGCGUAAAGCGCACGCAGGCGGUCUGUCAAGUCGGAUGUGAAAUCCCCGGGCUCAACCUGGGAACUGCAUUCGAAACUGGCAGGCUAGAGUCUUGUAGAGGGGGGUAGAAUUCCAGGUGUAGCGGUGAAAUGCGUAGAGAUCUGGAGGAAUACCGGUGGCGAAGGCGGCCCCCUGGACAAAGACUGACGCUCAGGUGCGAAAGCGUGGGGAGCAAACAGG